UGGCGAUAAAUCAUUCAAGUUUCUGACCUAUCAGCUUUCGACGGUAUGGUAUUGGCUUACCGUGGCAGUGACGGUUAACGGGGGAUUAGGGUUCGAUUCCGGAGAGGGAGCCUGAGAAACGGCUACCACAUCUAAGGAAGGCAGCAGGCGCGCAAAUUACCCAAUUCUAAUAGCAAAAGAGAGGUAGUGACAAGAAAUAACAGUACAAGGCAGUUAAAAUGCUUUGUAAUUGGAAUGAUAGAAAUUUAAAUACUUUUUAAAGUAUCAAUUGGAGGGCAAGUCUGGUGCCAGCAGCCGCGGUAAUUCCAGCUAACAAAUAGCGUAUAUUAAAAUUGUUGCAGUUAAA
rnacentral:rRNA from 1 species